UGGAAGACGAAUUUCUAAAUUUUGUUGUCACUAAAAUGAGGACACUUAGCCAGGAUGAAAUUGUAAUGCUGGCCUCCACUAAUUUUCCAUCUGAGUGGAUUUGAGGAGUCAAAGAAGCUACUCUUUGAAGUUUGUCCGAAAACGACUCAACGAUGUGUUUUGCACAAGGGUCCUCAGAAGGAUAUUAACAACGCCAAAGCGUGCCUAAAGGUUCUUAACGAGUGUGGGGAAGACAUCCCAAGAUUUGUAUCGUUUUAUCUGGAUGGGCUUCCACCUUAAGUUAACAUUCCGCACGCAGCAUUGAUGUAUCAGCACUCCUUGGCAGGAUUGAACAGCUAAAUAAGGAAGUGUCCAGUAGGCAUGAAAAAGAUCAUGGAAACUCAAGUAAGCGUAUGUGAGGAUCUACAAGCGGUAACUGCGGCUGUGGACCAGCGUGUGGCCAAAUUGGAGAGGCCUCGUGUACCAGAUCCUGACCACACCACCGGUAUUGGGCGGAAGGGAGAUGGACGAUGUGCGAGCACACUGGUUUCAGACACCCCACCGGGUAACGCGGCACUGAAUAUGCCUCCACAAACACAAUCACAGUCACCUAAAUGGAGCAUGAUUGUGAAAGAUGGUCGGCGAUUAAAGCAGACUUGGCGGGGCAUCCACAGCCAAAACCCUAUAACACUCGUGAACCAGCGAGAAGGCAGAGAAAGCAGAUCGGAAUAGUUGGAACCGGUGAUGGGAGUAAUAUUAAAGUGGUCAAAACCAAGCUGGUGAGUGUGUUUGCCACUAGAUGUGCUCCUGAUCUUGAAGCUGACACCUUAAGUAACUAUCUGUCUAAAAAACUGAGCAGAUCAGUUACGUGUCGGAAGAUUGCAUUGUCACAAAACAGGUUCAGCUCUUUUCACGCCACGGCUGAAUGCAAUGAAGUAAAUGAAAUGUACGAUCCACAACUUUGGCCAGCAGGAAUUUAUGUUCGCCGUUAGUAUGAAGCUCGUCUGCCCCGUAUCACGUCAGCUUAUGGAGGGCAUGGAGCUGAGGGAGCCACUGGAGGCCAUCGGCAAAUAACACGCAGUAGCAGUCCCUCCUGGUGGCCGCAAUCUGGUGAUUACUACGACCCAAGACAACGGGCAAGUGAGCUCUGCGCAGUCGUUAUAAAAGGCCUAAUAUGAAGUUUCGAUUUGGGUCAUAUAAUGCGCGUGGCCUGCGUCUCGGACACAGUGCAGGGGAUAAGUCACGUUGCGUUAUGGUUGAUAAGCUUCUUGACAAUUGUGAUGUCUGUAUUCAAGAGACUUUUUUUUUAGCUAAACAGGAUCUGGAAGGUCUAAAUACAUUACAUAAUGAAUAUUAUGGGGCUGGGGGAAUCUACCACUGAUCUAAGUACUAAAAUUGUCCAAGGUAGGAUACCUGGGGGUGUGGCUAUCCUCUGGAAUAAGAACUAUGAUUCACUAAUAUCAGUGGUAAGAUUGGGUGUGGAUUGGGCUAUUGGUAUAGAGUUUAAUUGUCAUGAUACAAAGUUUAUUAUUUUAAAUAUAUACACUCUGUAUGAGUGUUAGCAAAAUGAAGCUGAAUACUUAAAUAGAUUAGCAUUUUUGGCUCUUUUAUUCAAGAUAAUGCCUCAACCUGUAUUAUUGUUGUAGGAGACAUGAAUGCUGACAUUUCUGAUGCAGACUCUCUGUUUGCUAAUCACCUAAUGUAUUUUUGCACUGACCGUCAAGCAAGGUGCUUUUGCCUAUUAAUAGUUAUACUUAUAUCAGUGAGGCAUGGCAUACUACCUCGUGGUUAGAUCACUGUGUAUGUACAACUGAUGCACAUGCUUCUUUGGAUGCUAUGGAGAUUCAUUAUGAUUUUUCCAUUGCCGAUCAUAUACCGUUUUCUCUGUCUGUAAAUGUUAACAAGCUACCAAUUUUAUCUGCUGUGGCUAAUAGCAUUAACACAGGAAGAUUAGACUAAAUUAACCAUGGAAGAUUUCCAGAAGUAUCAUAUUAAGACUGAUGGGUUACUGGAAAACAUUGCACUGCCCAAAGAUGCCAUAAGAUGUUAUAAUAUUAAAUGUAAGAAUUCACAACAUAGUAAAGAUGUAUGUGUUUUAUAUGAAUCAAUUGUGGAAUCAUUUAACAUUGCCAGUAGGCAUUUCUAUAAACCUCAGCGUAUGGCAUAUAGCAUCAAGCCUGGUUGGAACGAGCAUGUAUAGAAGUUAUAAUGACUUCUGGAAAUGGGUCAGAGCCAUGAACAGUAGUAAAAUGUCUUUACCCUCAAAUAUUGAGGGAGUCAGUGGCUCAGAUGUAAUCUGCCAGAUGUGGUGGCAACGUUCUAAUGAGUUGUUUAACUGUAUUGGGAGGAAUACGUUUGAGGUGGAAAAUAUUGAUAACAAUGAAAAUGUGGUUAUUAAUUCAGAACAAUCUGCAGUAUUGGGAUUAGAUGACAAUAAAGUGUGUGGCGUUGAUAAAAUAACCGCUGAACAUCUAAAAUAUGCAAGCAAGAAACGUAUUCCUCUGUUUGCUAUUUGUAUGACAGGUUUCUUAGUUCAUGGGACUCUGCCUGAAACUAUCCUACCUGUAUUAUUAGUGCCCGUCAUCAAAGACAAAGCUGGCAAAAUAAACAGCAUGGACAAUUAUAGACCUGUAGCCCUAGUUAGCAUUGUAUCUAAAGUGUUGCAGAGAAUUUUUCUCAACAGGUUGGAACAGUAUAUUCUUACCACUGACAACCAAUUUGGUUUUAAACGUCAACACGGUACAGACGUGUAUAUUUGCCUUAAAAGAAGUUUUAGAUCAUUAUAAUAGCCAGAAUUCCACAACUUUUAUGUGUUUCAUAGAUGCCUCUAAGGCAUUUGAUCAUGUAAACCAUGACAAAUUAUUUCUUAAAUUGCAACAUAGAGGAGUCCCAAAAGUAAUUAUAAGAAUUCUAGUCGUCUGGUAUUCUCAUCAGGCUAUGCAGGUGAAAUGUUCAUCAUCAGAACCAUUUUUUGUUGGUAACGGAGUUCGUCAGGGUGGUAUUUUGUCACCUUUCCUUUUUAAUGUGCAUAUGGAUAAUUUGUCACAAAAAUUAAAUAAAUGCAAUACAGGAUGUAUGAUAGGCUAUACUCUCAUUAAUCACCUUAUGUAUGCAGAUGAUUUGGUAAUCAUUUGCCCAUAUAGUGCUGGGUUACAACAACUUUUGAAGGUUUGUUCUCAGUACCGUGUGGAUUUCAAUAUCAAAUAUAAUGCAAA